rnacentral:rRNA from 1 species
AGAGUUUGAUUCUGGCUCAGAACGAACGUUUGCGGCGUGGAUUAGGCAUGCAAGUCGAACGAGAACCUGUGGAUUCAAUCCUUCGGGAGAGAAACUACAGGGGAAAGUGGCGGAAGGGUGAGGAACACGUGGGUAAUUUGUCCUCAAGUUGGGGAUAGCUUCUCGAAAGGGAAGGUAAUACCGAAUGUGGUCGUCCUACGCAUGUAGGAUUGACUAAAGGUGGGGCUCCUUCGGGACCUGCCGCUUGAUGAGAAGCCCGCGUCCUAUCAGCUUGUUGGUGAGGUAAUGGCUCACCAAGGCUUACGGGUAGCUGGUCUGAGAGGAUGGUCAGCCACACUGGGACUGAGACACUGCCCAGACUCCUACGGGAGGCUGCAGUCGAGGAUCAUUCACAAUGCGCGAAAGCGUGAUGAUGCGACGCCGCGUGGAGGAUGACGGCCUUCGGGUUGUAAACUCCUGUCAUUUGGGAACAGACGUUCCGUCCCUAAUACGGGCGGAGCCCGAUAGUACCAGAAGAGGAAGUCACGGCUAACUCUGUGCCAGCAGCCGCGGUAAUACAGAGGAGGCGAACGUUGUUCGGAUUUACUGGGCGUAAAGGGUGCGUAGGUGGUUUCGUGUGUCGGAUGUGAAAGCUCAUCGCUCAACGGUGAAAUUGCAUUCGAAACUGCGGGACUAGAGUACCGGAGAGGAAAGCGGAAUUCUUGGUGUAGCGGUGAAAUGCGUAGAUAUCAAGAGGAACACCGGUGGCAAAGGCGGCUUUCUGGACGGAUACUGACACUGAGGCACGAAAGCUGGGGGAGCAAACAGGAUUAGAUACCCUGGUAGUCCCAGCUGUAAACGGUGUCCACUUGGUGUGGGGGGAGUUGAUCCCCCCCGUGCUGGAGCUAACGCGUUAAGUGGACCGCCUGGGGAGUACGGCCGCAAGGCUAAAACUCAAAGAAAUUGACGGGGGCCCGCACAAGCGGAGGAGCAUGUGGCUUAACUCGAUGCAACGCGAAGAACCUUACCAGGGCUUGACAUGCAGCUGCAAGCCCGGCGAAAGUCGGGCCGCCUUCGAGGGUGCUGCACAGGUGCUGCAUGGCUGUCGUCAGUUCGUGCUGUGAAGUGUUGGGUUAAGUCCCGCAACGAACGCAACCCCUGUGUUUAGUUGCCCCCAUCGGUGAUGAGCCGGUGAGCACUCUAGACAGACUGCCCGUGAUAAGCGGGAGGAA